rnacentral:tRNA from 1 species
GUUUAUGUAGAUUAAUUAAGAUUGUGAGGCUGUUAACCUUAAGGCGAGUGUAAAUUCCAUAAUCG